AUUUUUUAAUUGUUUGGUCAAAAUCUGGAUAAACUGCAGAUCAUUAAAAAUGAAACUGUUAAAUAAACCUGUACACAGCAAAUUCAAAAGUCUUAAAUGUUUUGGUGUUAGUAGACUUUAUGCAAAAGCAGAGUUAAUUUUACUCUAAUAGAGUCACAUUCUGUUUAUGUAGCUCUGGGGUGUAAAUUAUUAGUAGUUAAAAUCCAGUGUUAAAACAAAGUUUUUUCCGUAUCAAAUCUAUCGGUGUUAAAAUGGAACCAGUAACUCUUGACUUCUUAACUCUGAACUCCUACAGCCGCUGUAUAACACUAAAGGAGCUCAUUCACUGACUCCGCCCCCAGAAUCACCGGUUCCCUCCGAAGCGACGUCAAGCGACAGACGCCAAGUCAUUUCAGGACAAUUUACUUUCCACAUGUCUGAGUUGUUCACUGCGCUUGUAUGGUUGCGGAUGAAUCGCCAGUCGUCAGCGUCAACCUCCCGAACCCUACGUGGAUUCUUCAAAGAUUCAAGCUCCAAAAAUGAUUCUAGACCAAUACUGGCUAUAGUACUCGGUGCAGUAGAGGAGCACGGUGAUGUCUGGGGCCAAAGUUCACGAACAGCCCAACAACCCGAAGACAAUCUGUGUUAGUGAGUGGACAGCUUUUUGGGGGAGUGCAGAAAGGCCCAGUCCCUUAUCAACAGAAUCAUAAACUGGAUGGAUCUGAAUAUCAGGUUGGUCUGUUAUGUUCUGUAAUAUCCAGCAAUCUACCUGUUAAAAGAACAUUUGCUCUAUCAUAUUACAUGAACUACUUGCUUUACUUUCUCCGCCUUGUACUUUGAACAAUUUCAUGCAUAUUGUAUUGAAGAAAAAUGUAUUAAGCAUAUACUGCAUUUUGUAUUGCACAGCUGAUAUGUCAGACCUCUUGAUAAGCAAUAUGUGAAUGAAGGCGACAUGUGAAACAUGCACAUUAUUCCACGUUGUAAUAUGUUUUGUAAUUAUGGCGCAUGUUUUGAAAUAAAUGUA